AUGCCAGGGAUCCCACGCAAGCUGGCCGAACAUAGCCUCAAUAUAUUAAAGGGGUUUAAACCGGUUAAGCAAACACUGCGGCACUUUUCCAAACCCAAGCGACAAUCCAUGGGGGAGGAGUUGGCCAAACUCAUUGAGGCCGGAUUCAUUCAAGAAAUCAAACAUCUGGACUGGCUGGUAAACCUAGUGAUGGUACCAAAGAAGGACAAAUCCUGGCGCAUGUGCGUCGAUUUCAAAGACCUCAACAAAGCCUUCCCUAAGGAUCCCUUCCCCCUCCCCCGCAUUGAUCAAAUCAUUGACACCACCGCAGGACACGACUCACUGUGUUUCCUUGAUGCAUACUCCGGAUACCAUCAAAUCAAAAUGAAAGAAUCCGAUCAAGCUGCAACAACAUUCAUUACCCCAUACGGGCCAUUCUGCUUCAAUACCAUGCCCUUUGGGCUCAAGAAUGCCGGUGCCACAUAUCAAAGCAUGAUUCAAACAUGCCUGGAGAAACAGAUCGACAAAACAGUAGAAGCUUACAUUGAUGACGUCGUCAUCAAAACCAGGCACAUGGAAACACUAAUAGACGACUUACGUCUUACCUUCGACAACCUCAGGGCGUACGACAUCAAGCUCAACCCGGAAAAGUGUGUCUUCGACGUC
rnacentral:rRNA from 1 species